rnacentral:rRNA from 1 species
AUUGAACGCUGGCGGAAUGCUUUACACAUGCAAGUCGAACGGCAGCACGGACUUCGGUCUGGUGGCGAGUGGCGAACGGGUGAGUAAUGUAUCGGAACGUGCCCAGUCGUGGGGGACAACGUAGUGAAAAUUACGCUAAUACCGCAUACGAUCUAUGGAUGAAAGCGGGGGAUCGCAAGAACUCGCGCGAUUGGAGCGGCCGAUAUCAGAUUAGGUAGUUGGGGGGGUAAAGGCCCACCAAGCCAACGAACUGUAGCUGGUCUGAGAGGACGACCAGCCACACUGGAACUGAGACACGGUCCAGACUCCUACGGGAGGCAGCAGUGGGGAAUUUUGGACAAUGGGCGGAAGCCUGAUCCAGCCAUUCCGCGUGCAGGAUGAAGGCCCUCGGGUUGUAAACUGCUUUUGUACAGAACGAAAAGGUUUCUACUAAUACUAGGAGCUCAUGACGGUACUGUAAGAAUAAGCACCGGCUAACUACGUGCCAGCCGCCGCAGUAA